rnacentral:rRNA from 1 species
GGCUCAGGACGAACGCUGGCGGCGUGCCUAACACAUGCAAGUCGAACGGGAUCGGGGGCAACUCCGGUUCAGUGGCGAACGGGUGCGUAACACGUGAAGAAUUUGUCCUUCGGCGGGGGAUAGCCGGCCCAACGGCCGGGUAAUACCGCGUACGACCUUCGGGGGGCAUCCCCUGGAGGUGAAAGCCGCAAGGCGCCGAGGGAGAACUUCGCGGCCUAUCAGCUAGUUGGCGGGGUAAUGGCCCACCAAGGCGACGACGGGUAGCUGGUCCGAGAGGAUGACCAGCCACAUUGGGACUGAGACACGGCCCAGACUCCUACGGGAGGCAGCAGUGGGGAAUAUUGCGCAAUGGGCGAAAGCCUGACGCAGCGACGCCGCGUGUGGGAUGACGGCCUUCGGGUUGUAAACCACUGUCGGGAGGGACGAAGCUCUGACGGUACCUCCAAAGGAAGCACCGGCUAACUCUGUGCCAGCAGCCGCGGUAAUACAGAGGGUGCGAGCGUUGUCCGGAAUCACUGGGCGUAAAGGGCGCGUAGGCGGCCCGGUAUGUCGGGGGUGAAAUCUCGCGGCUCAACCGCGGGGCUGCCUCCGAAACUGUCGGGCUCGAGCACAGUAGAGGCAGGUGGAAUUCCCGGUGUAGCGGUGGAAUGCGUAGAGAUCGGGAAGAACAUCGGUGGCGAAGGCGGCCUGCUGGGCUGUUGCUGACGCUGAUGCGCGACAGCGUGGGGAGCAAACAGGAUUAGAUACCCUGGUAGUCCACGCCGUAAACGAUGGGUACUAGGCGCCGGGGGGGAGCGACCCCUUCGGUGCCGUCGCUAACGCAAUAAGUACCCCGCCUGGGGAGUACGGCCGCAAGGCUGAAACUC